GCCUUCAGGAACUGUUGCCCAAACAUUUCCUCGGUCUCCCUGCUGGCCACAUGCAUUCCCUGUCCUCACCAGCUCUGGAAGCCGUCCCAUCGAGGCCACCUUGUCAGCCUUCAUCUUCCUGUGUGUCUUGACCAGGCCCAGGUGGGCUCAUCGAGCUUACCUUGCUGGGCUAGGGGCCUUCUGAAGGGCAGGGGUCCCUGGGUGCUGCUUGUCCUGUAGGCCUCAGCUUGUCAAUGAUCUCAAAGAACUUGGUGGCCUCCGGUAUCAUGAGAAGCCAGCAUCACUCCUGGGUCCAUAACGUGGUGACCCUAAAAGAUAUGUCUGCUCAAACCCCUGGAAUGUGACCUUAUCUGGAGUGAGGGUCUCUGCAGUUGUAAUUAAGGUGAGGAUACUGAGAUGAGGUCAUCCUGGAUUAGGGAGGGCCUUAACUCCAAUAAUUGGUGUCCUUGUUAGAGACAGAAAAGAAGGCACACAGACACAGGGAGAAGGGAUGUGAUGACGGAGGCAGAGAUUGGAGGGACACAGCUACCGGCCAAGGCACACCAAGGGUGGUUGGCAGCCACCAGACGCCAGGACAGAGGCACAGAACAGAUUGUCCCUCAGAGCCCCCAGCAGGUACCACAACCCUGCUGACACCAUGACUUCAGACUUCUGGCUUCUAGAACUGAGAAAUUUGGACUCUGAUAUGCCCACGUACAGAGGAAAGACCAUGUGAAGACCCAGCCAGAAGAAGGCCGUCCGCAAACCCAGGAGAGGCCUCAGAAGGAGCGAAUCCUGCCGACGCUUUGAUCUCAAACUUCCAGUGUCCAGAACUGUUAGGAAAUACAUUUCUGUUUAAGCUGC